rnacentral:piRNA from 1 species
AACCUUCGUUGAAAAUUCGGCCUCA